UACAGAGGUCCCAAGCGUUGUUCGGAUUCACUGGGCGUAAAGGGUGCGUAGGUGGUGAGGUAAGUCGGAUGUGAAAUCUCGGAGCUCAACUCCGAAACUGCAUUGGAAACUACCUUGCUCGAGGGUUGGAGGGGGGACUGGAAUACUUGGUGUAGCAGUGAAAUGCGUAGAUAUCAAGUGGAACACCAGUGGCGAAGGCGGUUGCCUGGAGCUUUGCUGACGCUGAGGCGCGAAAGCGUGGGGAGCGAGCCGG
rnacentral:rRNA from 1 species